rnacentral:tRNA from 1 species
GGGCGCGUAGCUCAACGGCAGAGCAUCCGUCUUAUACACGGCAGGUUGGAGGUUCGAAUCCUCCCGCGCCCA